rnacentral:rRNA from 1 species
GACGAACGCUGGCGGCGUGCUUAACACAUGCAAGUCGAACGGAAAGGCCCUGCUUUUGUGGGGUGCUCGAGUGGCGAACGGGUGAGUAACACGUGAGUAACCUGCCCUUGACUUUGGGAUAACUUCAGGAAACUGGGGCUAAUACCGGAUAGGAGCUCCUGCUGCAUGGUGGGGGUUGGAAAGUUUCGGCGGUUGGGGAUGGACUCGCGGCUUAUCAGCUUGUUGGUGGGGUAGUGGCUUACCAAGGCAUUGACGGGUAGCCGGCCUGAGAGGGUGACCGGCCACAAUGGGACUGAGAUACGGCCCAGACGCCUACGGGAGGCAGCAGUGGGGAAUAUUGCACAAUGGGCGGAAGCCUGAGGCAGCAACGCCGCGUGCGGGAUGACGGCCUUCGGGUUGUAAACCGCUGUCGCCUGUGACGAAGCGUGAGUGACGGUAAUGGGUAAAGAAGCACCGGCUAACUACGUG